rnacentral:lncRNA from 1 species
GGCUUUUUGCGCAAUAAUCCCAUCAGACCCAAAAUGCGCGGAUCCUUCCCUUGGGUCGGGUCACCGCGCAAGUCAAAGACCACUAAACGGCGUAGUUUCAUAUCACGCAUAUAUGUAAAAAUAAACCUAAAAAUAAUAACUAUUAAUCAUUUCAUUUGAAACCAAAAGAAAACCUAGAAGUCUUAAGUAUUAUCUCUGCGCCGCUUCAUGCCCCGACCAUUCAGAGGCUCUUCGGACGCUCAUUCGACUCCGAUUACAACAGAGAGAAUAGGAGUCCGACGCCGGUGUAAAGGUAAACCCU